rnacentral:rRNA from 1 species
UCGAGUCUUUGAACGCAAGUUGCGCCCGAGGCUUGUCCAAGGGCAUUUCCGCUAGAGCGUCACC